rnacentral:rRNA from 1 species
GAUGAACGCUGGCGGCGUGCCUAAUACAUGCAAGUAGAACGCUGAAGGAGGAGUUUGCUCUUCUGGAUGAGUUGCGAACGGGUGAGUAACGCGUAGGUAACCUGCCUGGUAGCGGGGGAUAACUAUUGGAAACGAUAGCUAAUACCGCAUGACAACAGUUAUUGCAUGAUAACUGUUUAAAAGGGGCAACUGCUCCACUACCAGAUGGACCUGCGUUGUAUUAGCUAGUUGGUGAGGUAACGGCUCACCAAGGCGACGAUACAUAGCCGACCUGAGAGGGUGAUCGGCCACACUGGGACUGAGACACGGCCCAGACUCCUACGGGAGGCAGCAGUAGGGAAUCUUCGGCAAUGGACGGAAGUCUGACCGAGCAACGCCGCGUGAGUGAAGAAGGUUGUCGGAUCGUAAAGCUCUGUUGUAAGAGAAGAACGAGUGUGAGAGUGGAAAGUUCACACUGUGACGGUAUCUGACCAGAAAGGGACGGCUAACUACGUG